CCAUGUUUCUUAUUUGUGAGUAUUUUUCGGAAGCCGGUUGACCAACACAGCUUCUGCUUGAGUUCAGGAAGCUUCUGCAACCAAUUGGAAGCCAUGCCUUGGUUUCGAACGGACUCCCAGAACAGAUUAAGUUCGAGAGCCAAGUUUCCACUUUAUAUGGACAUGAAUUCUCCUGAUACGUUCCAUGAAAGCUUUCCAAAGCUGAAUCAAUGUACUUAUGACUAUCUGAUAAUCAGUGGUGAUUUAAAUGAAAUAUUGGAUCCUAAGUUAAAUAGAAAUAUUUAGUUAAAUAGAAAUAUUCUGAUAAGGAAGAAAACAUCUUUAGUGAAGCAAUCAAAAAUAUGUGCAAGAAUUUAAUAGACCCAUGGCGAUUAAGGUAUCAUACCAAAAGAGAGUACACAUUUAUAUCAGUUCUUCAUCAAGUUUUUUUGGAUUAGAUUACUUCUUAACAUAACCAUUGCUGUAUCAUCAAAUUCAGGAUUGUAGAAUUGGCAUUAGCUAUAUAUCUGAUCAUAAUGCAGUUAUCUUGAAUAUCAUAAGUAAGAAAAAAUGGUAUUUUAAUGUUUCCCUACUUCAUGAUAAAGAAUUUAUAC